GUCCCAUUAGUAAAAUGGAUAUUACGAGACCCUCCUAAGGUUUAAUUAUAGGUUCGAUUCCUAUAUGGGACGCCA
rnacentral:tRNA from 1 species